rnacentral:rRNA from 1 species
UGGGCAACCUGCCUCAUACAGAGGGAUAAUCAUGUGAAAACGUGACUAAUACCGCAUGUCGUUUCGGGAGGGCAUCCUCCUGAAAGAAAAGGAGCAAUCCGGUAUGAGAUGGGCCCGCAUCUGAUUAGCUAGUUGGUGAGAUAACAGCCCACCAAGGCGACGAUCAGUAGCCGACCUGAGAGGGUGAUCGGCCACAUUGGGACUGAGACACGGCCCAA